rnacentral:lncRNA from 1 species
AGUGCUGAGGCCACAGAGGGGUGGGGCAGAAGAGAACUUAGAAAGGUUGGGAGGAACAAGGUUAGAGAGAGGAGGGACAUUUGGAGUGCUGAGGGAGGGAGGCCACCAGUGUCCCCAAAGACUGGUGGCCUCUGGUUAUGCCCUGACAGUUGCUUCUCUGGUCCUCAGAACCUUCAGCCAGGUCUUACCUCCAGAGGUCGUCUCCAUUCCUGACCUUCACAGGCCCAUUAGGGCCUGCGGCCCGGGCCAGACUUGUACUCCACAGCCUGCAAAGCCAGAGGGCCAGGCUGUCUGCACCACUCCCCAUGAAGCACAUGACACCGCGGCUGCCUUUUGUGGUGCCCUCCCCGCCUCACUUAACCGAUUCACUGAUCCACCUAAGUGGCCAGGUCCCCUACCAGCCAGCCUGGGAGGACUCCCGGGGGCGGGGUUGAAGCCCAGGAGGAACAGAGAGCUAGGCGCUUUAAUUGGAGAAGUCCCCAAGUGCUGGCUCUUGCAGAAGGACCUACCCAGGCAGUAUGGACUCUCAACGAUGGUACCCUUAGACUCGAUCAGAGCUGGUCUCUGUCCUAGUCCUUCAUGUAUAUAGUUGAGAGGGUGCUUCCAAUGUGCCCUGUGUGGGGAAGGAGUAUGCUUAACUGUUGAAAUGAAAUAGAACUGUCUAAAGUCCAUGAAAUCUGGUUUAGUCUAGAACACAGAAUCCUGGUUCUGUAUCGCCAGCAACAAAAAUGAGAUCACUUGUUCAGCAUUUGGAAUGUAAAAUAAGAGCCAGCUCUUGUUCGGAUCACCCCCUCCCAUCUGACUCCCAACCCCUCACCCCAAAAUGCAGCCCUGCUCUCACUUCCCACCUGAGCACCUGAGGUUUCUCCCUCUGGUUGCCAAGAGACAAAAGGUGGGCAAGGCAGCCGACCUAAGUAAGACUGAACUGCCCCUACCUCCCAGCCACUGCAGCAUUUAGGUUUCCCGUAGAAAACGUUUGCCUGCACAAUACAGGGACACUGGAAGAAAGUACUAGAACACCCCUGCAUUUUCUAAUAUUGAAUCUCACCCCUAUUUUCAUUUAGCAUGAGUAUAUUACCCAAAAAAGCAAUGUACAAAUAUUUAAGUUACUGGCCAUGGUGGCAUACACUUUGAUCCCAGCGCUCAGGAGGCAGAGGCAGGUGGAUCUCUGAGUUUGAGGCCAGCCUGGUCUCCAGAACGAGUUCCAGGAUAGCCAGGACUACACAGAGAAAACUCUGUCUCAAAAAAACAAACAAAAACUUCAGUUGCAAGUAUGCAUGAAACUUUUUUUUUAAUUGCUAGGACAUGAAACUCAAAAAUACCUUGAGAGGUCACUGUUUGAAACUUCAGGUGGAGUGACAUGAGGGUGGCU